rnacentral:misc_RNA from 1 species
UCUCUAUGAAGAAAACUCCUGGACAGAAGUAUCCGCAAAAAAUUAGCUUUGGAGGUUAUUAUAUAAUUUAUAACAGUUCUAACGCGUGUACCAAGAGUUAAACAUCGAGAUCCAGUCAAACAAGAUUUCAUAAAUUGCCCCCAAAGAAAAAAAGAAAAAAAAAGCUAGCUCAAGAUUAAUUUUCAAAGCAAGCAAGAUUUAAUUUAAUUUUGAAUGGAUUUAUAAAAAAUAAUAAAAAAAAACCUUGAAAUUUCACUUAAUUCACGAACCAGAAAAACCAAGAUCUGUUAAAGGCUUUUCCAAAUAUAGCUACCACCAUAGAUCUGAACCAAUUCGACCAAAAAAAAAAAGACAUAGAAAGAGCUAAGAUACUUUAGGUACUCAACUGUACAGUCUUCCUCCAAAGGGUGACUUCUCAAGUAUCUGUGUAUAUUUAUCGUUAACGAAGAAGAAAGUCAGGUUAACGCAACAAGGAGGAGGAACAAGACGGUCCCGUUUGCUUUUAUAGAAAGGGAGAAGGAAAAGAAAAUAAAGGAGGGGGCGAGAUCAAUUGGGGAAUUGGGCAACAGCACAGAGGAAGGGAAAGGACCACCGACUA